GGUUGGCUAGCUCAGUUGGUUAGAGCGUCGAGCUAAUAUCAUGCAAGAUAUCAUGUAUGUAACUCGAAGGUCAUGGGUUCGACCCCCCUGCUGACCA
rnacentral:tRNA from 1 species